rnacentral:lncRNA from 1 species
GGACCUCUUACUAGUGUGGUAUGAAAUGGUCACACAGAAGGUGGUUUUGGUGAGGGCAAAACUUCCUGCCAGCCUGAUAUCUAACUGUGCUGCUUUGGGAAGAGGAGUGCACAGCGAAAGAAAAGGCGCCACGGAGCACCCUCGCUUCUACAGCAGACUUCAUACAGUAGCAGGGACUAAAAACCAACUGGCAAGACAUGGAUUGCAAGAUCAGCUCAGAAGAGAGAGAGGAUGCUGACUCUGAAACCCAUUCUAACAAGCAUGCAUGUGCACACACACACUGUAUCAUCAUCAUCAUCAUCAUCAUCAUCAUCAUCAUCAUCAUCAUCAUCAUCAUCUAAUGUUGUAAGGUUUCCACCAGUAUGAAUUUGGAAGAAGUGUAGACACAGAAGUGGACUGGUGACCAGAGUCCAGCCUUUUCUUCAGAAUCAAUAUCCACAGUCUGGCCAUGGGACCUAAGCCUGAAUGUGCCUAUGUGAAGGUGCUGAGAAGGAGCACAGAGGCAAAAGGAUGCCCUGAAUCCUGAUGCGCCCAGUUCAAAGCGAAUGAAUCAGGGAGGGAUUUGAAGAACACUGUCUCCACCCCAAGGCAUUUCCAUCCUUUUAUUGCUCUCCCAACUUUAUGGUUACUUUGAGCACUGCAGCUUAUUUAGCUACUUCCCUGGGUAGGGCAGAUAUUUCAACAGAUGUGAGCUAUGCCAACUAUCACCUACAGGGAAGGAGAUUAUAAAGGAAAGAACAUUUGAGAGGAAUUAACAAAAAGCAAAUAAAAUGGCACGUCAAAAAGGAGAGCGUCACCGAGAGGGUUCCCCCCCCCCCAAGGGAGGUUGGGACAGGAGAAUGGAUCAAGUGGCGCUCUCAAGGUUUCCGAAGCCGUUUCCUGCACUAAUGUGUAUCUCCUAAUUUUUAGAUCCUAGAACAGAGAACUAGGGAACAUGGGAAACCUAAAAUAAAAAGAUUGUUGCAUUCA